GGCGGCAUAGUAUAGCACUGGCUGCCCACUGAAGUUUUUUAAAGGGCCGCGGUAAUUUGACCGUGCGAAGGUAGCAUAAUCAAUAGUCUCUUAAUUGGGGGCUGGAAUGAAUGGUCGGACAAAGAGUUAGCUGUCUUUUUCGCGUUUUUUGAAGUUUACUUUUAAGUGAAAAGGCUUAAAUGUGUUCGGGGGACGAUAAGACCCUAUAAAACUUUACAGGUAAGCUUAUGUUUCUUGAAUUAAAGUUUAAUAACAACUAUAAGUUACCUGUUAUGUUGGGGCGACAAUGAUAUAAUAUGUAACUGUCAUGUAAAUCAAAUAACAAUAAUUAGUUUAGUUGAUCCUCUAUUAAAGAUUAAAAGAUCAAGUUACUUUAGGGAUAACAGCGUAAUUUUCUCUGAGAGUCCUUAUCGACGAGAGUAGUUGCGACCUCGAUGUUGAAUUAAGAUUUCUCCUAAGUGUAGCAGCUUGGUAAGUGGGUCUGUUCGACCCUAAAAAUCUUACGUGAUCUGAGUCCAGACCGGA
rnacentral:rRNA from 1 species